AGCGAUUCUCCUGCCUCAGCCUCCCAAGUAGCUAGGACUACAGCUCCCGCAUACCUCCACCUGCCAUAUUGGCCUGCCAUGGUAGGCCAGGGAGAGAGAAAAAGGAAGAAAAGAGAAGAGAAAAGAAAAAUGUGUUGCCUACUGCCCCUGCCUUUAUUGGGAUGGACAGCUGGAGUAAACAUCAUCCAGAAAGACUGGGACUCUGGGUCCUCUCAAACCCAGCACACCCGCACCACGAAUACCAGCCCCCAGCAAGAAACCUCUAAGCACUUUGGGCCAAAGCGGUUUCAGUUUGAAACCAUGAUGAAUUUAACAUAAAUCAAGAAAAGCAACAGAAGCAACUUUUCCCAUCUGGAAUGGAGUACAGCCUUCUAUUUUAUGCUAUUUGUCUACCCUGUCACUAACUGCAGAGAAAACGUUCUAAAAACUGCCCUUUGUAGCCUCAAGCCAUUUCCCUAGGGCUGUUUGACUUAAAAAAAAAAAAAAAAAAAAAAAAGAGCCAGAGAAAUAAAAAAUGUGGGCAGAGCCUGAGUGGUUUUAAGUCAAAGACCUACUGAGCAGGGAUUCAUUUAGUGGGUUAUUUUAAAUAAUUCAAUCCAGAAAAAAUUGGUUGAAUAUAUACAUAUAUGCCUCACCAAUUUCAUUCACAGAUGUUGGCAAGUGACUGAAAACAGGAAGGGAAACUUUGUUCAAUGCUCGGAGAUGAAUGUACCAAAUUAUACAAUCCCUGCAGAAUUUGAGAACUGGAAGGGGACUAAGAAAUCAGUUAGUCUAGUAAGUUAGGGCUUGCAAUCUUUUUCUGGGGAGGUACUUCUGAGUUCCCUUACAUUUUAUGAUCAUCAGAGACACGAUUCUUCAUACAGCUAGAGAGGGGAAGGUGGGAUUUUAUUGAGCAUGUAAUGUUAUCAUCCGCCUACUUUGAGGAUUCCCAAGUCUUCCCAUUGCCUAUGGGAGUAUUUCUGUGGGACAUCAGUACCGUGGAUUGUUCACCACAAAGGUUUCCAGGGUCACACCUGUUUAGGAAAUGCUGUGUGUUAUAUCCAACUUUGGAUAUUUGCAAAGUACACCUGCAUAAUAAAUGCUGUUGCACUGAGUGAGAA
rnacentral:lncRNA from 1 species